CGGGGCGUGGCGCAGUAGGUAGCGCGCGUCGUUCGGGACGACGAGGUCGGAGGUUCGAGUCCUCUCGCCCCGACCA
rnacentral:tRNA from 2 species